CACGUAGGAGGCGAGCGUUGUCCGGAAUCAUUGGGCGUAAAGAGCGCGCAGGCGGCUUGGCAAGUCGGGUGUGAAAUCCCGGGGCUCAACCCCGUGACUGCAUCCGAUACUGUCAGGCUAGAGGUAGGUAGGGGAGAUCGGAAUUCCUGGUGUAGUGGUGAAAUGCGCAGAUAUCAGGAGGAACACCGGUGGCGAAGGCGGAUCUCUGGGCCUUACCCGACGCUCAGGCGCGAAAGCUAGGGGAGCGAACAGG
rnacentral:rRNA from 1 species